GGGUUUGAAGUGUGCUUGAAGGGUGCAGAGAUGCAUUCCGCUCUUCGGAGCAGGUACAUCAGGUGCUGCACGGCUGUCGUCAGCUCGUGUCGUGAGAUGUUGGGUUAAGUCCUGUAACGAGCGCAACCCUUAUCCGUAGUUGCCAUCAGGUAAAGCUGGGAACUCUACGGAGACUGCCGGUGAUAAACCGGAGGAAGUGGGGAUGACGUCAAGUCAUCGUGGCCCUUACGUCCCGGGCUGCAAACGUGCUACAAUGGUCGGUACAAAGAGAUGCAAGACCGCGAGGUGGAGCAAAUCUCAAAAAACCGAUCUCAGUUCGGAUUGCAGUCUGCAACUCGACUGCAUGAAGUUGGAGUUGCUAGUAACCGCAGGUCAGCACACUGCGGUGAAUACGUUCUCGGGCCUU
rnacentral:rRNA from 1 species